rnacentral:rRNA from 1 species
CCUACGGGGGGCUGCAGUUAGGAAUAUUGGACAAUGGGCGCAAGCCUGAUCCAGCCAUGCCGCGUGAACGAUGAAGGCCUUCGGGUUGUAAAGUUCUUUAGCCGAUGAUUAUAAUGACUGUAGUCGGAAAAUAAGCCCCGGCUAACUUCGUGCCAGCAGCCGCGGUAAUACGAAGGGGGCGAGCGUUAUUCGGAAUCACUGGGCGUAAAGCGUGCGUAGGCGGUCUCGUAAGUUAGGAGUGAAAGCCCAGGGCUCAACCUUGGAAUUGCUCUUAA